rnacentral:lncRNA from 1 species
UGUUCCCCGGCUAGGGCUCCGCCUUCGGGGACCUAGGUGAGGACAGGCAUUUCCUGCCCAAAUGUUGCAUUUCCCAAGACCACCCUGGCCCACCACGCCCCCAUCCUGGGCCUAUAAAAACCCAAGACCCUGGCGGGAAGACACAGAAGUGGUUGGGCGUCGUGAGGAACGCAUCGGCGGCAGAACACUCAAGCGGCUGGUUGUUGAGAGCACGCCAGCUGAAGAGCACCCCUGCACACUGGCAGGCCAUCCACAGGUGUCAGAAACUCAGCUCAGCUGGAAGAAACUUGAUGUACCAGGUAUCAGAGUAGCAAGUAAAGCCACAAGCCAAAAAUGAAAGAGAAUCUUUUAAGUGCUUAUCGUGAUGGUGUAAGUAAUUGUCCAAAAGAAACGCCGAUUCCUUCUGUUCCAUUUUUACCUGUGGAUUGUGGAUUGAAAUAACCAUUGGACCAUGAGGAGAGACUCUGAAGAGAGGCUAGUGAUAUGUGAUAUAAUACUCUUUUGUGACGUUGGACCAUGGCAGUGAGCCGCAGCUCCCAGUCAGCAAUGCGAUCCCAAGAAUAAACAACCGAUUCUUGACAGUGUCCUAUGUUGCCAGUCGAUUUUGUUCAACAGUAGGUACAUCUUUUGACUCUAUUUAGUGAUGUACUUAUUUUCAUCUGAAUUCACUGUGGUCCAGUCCAAACUCGUUGGCUACUUUAAAUAGUGGAAGUCUGGUGCAAGAUGCUCUACCCAUAGAGGCAAGUACACCCCACUCCCAAAUUAAAAAGAUUGACCUUAGCCAAACAUAACACGAUGGUGAGGAGUCUCAUUUUUGCAGAAAACACAUUCCAGGGGCUUUCCACUUUCCUCCGAAUGUCCUAACCAGCUUAACCAUCAG